rnacentral:rRNA from 1 species
CCCUUAGAUGUUCUGGGCUGCGCGCGCGCUACACUGAGGCGUUCGGCGAGUUUAUGACCUUGCCCGAUAGCGUUGGGUAACCUUUCUAAAUCGCAUCGUGAUUGGGGAUAGAUUGUUGCAACUAUUAACCUUCCACGAAUUCCUAGUAAGCGCGAGUCAUCAGCUCGUGCUGAGUACGUCCCUCCCCUUUGUAAACACCGCCCGUCGCUCGUACCGAUUGAGUGGUCCGGUGAAUAAUUCGGACUGGAGCAGUGUUCAGUUCCUGAACGUUGCAGCGGAAAGUUUAGUGAACCUUAUCACUUAGCGGAAGGAGAAGUCGUAACA